GUGCCACUUAUUCAUCUGAAGAAGCAAAAGGAAAUGCUUUCAACCCGGAUCCCAGACACAGAGAGGAGCCCAGGUUUAAAAGCUCCUCCCUGCCAAGGACAGAGUGCCACUCAAAUCCAUCUUUGCCCAUAAGUCUCCCUGGGGGACGUCUGGCAAUAGCUAGAGACAUUUGGGGAUGUCAAAACUAGGAAGGACGCUACUGCAUCAGGAAAAGAAGCAAGGGAAGAGUGAAAACGCUGGCUUGGAAUGAGCUCUGAUCAUGUCUACUCUCUCCUACUCCUACUUUUUCUUGGAGC